UAGUUUUAAUCCUGUUUUGUAUUUAUUUAGAAUUUUAAAAGAAAUGAGAUGCAUUCAAAAUAUGGACUCAAUAAAUUCAUUCAGAUACUAGUUUCAUAAAUUUUAAUAUGGAAAUAUAAAAUGCAAAAUUGUAUUUUUGAGUUAAAAUAUUUAAUUGGUCUUAACUUAAGAUUGAUAGGUUAAAAUAGCACAAUUGUUAACUAAAUAUUAGUUUAAUCAAGCCCAAUUUUUACAUUUAAAAAUAGUUUAGAGACUCUGAGGUGGAUUCUCCCAAAUAAUCUUUCAUGUAUCAUGAUGGGAAUGAUAUAAAAAUGAAUAUAAAAGCCUUUAUUCUUCACUGCAUUCAAUUGCUUUAUGGAGAAUUGUUUUUUUUUUUACAGUUAUGAGCAUCUUAUAGAAAACCAAGAGGAAGAUAAAAAUGAUUGUUUUGGGCAAUUCUUUGUUGUUAAUUCUACAUUUUAAAAUUAUUUUUUGCUGAUUGAUAUUACUUCCCUGAGCUGGUUGUCUAAUCUUUAAUAAAUAAAAUUCUAGAGAUAUAUAUGCAUAUAUAUGUGUGUGUGAACAUAUAUACAUGCAUAUAUAUGUAUAGAACUAUGCAAAAAUGGUGUUUUCCCCAGCAUAAUUAGAGAAAAAUGUAUAAAUCGAAAUGCUUCAGAAGAAAACUAUUGCAUGGAAGCUGCAUGGUCUAAGUACUAGGUUCUUGGGACUCAAGAACGGUUGAUGAUGAACUGGAAGAGCAAAGGGUGAAGGUGAAGAUCAUUAGAGGUUCCAGCGCUGGCGGAGACUGUUGGGGUUGUAUAACUGUGCCUGGAGGGCGGGGUUCCUGUGCAUUCCUACCCAGCUGAAUAACCUGCGCUCAACUGUACUCCACCUUACUUCCAGACAGACUGGACCGUUCAACAAGAAAACGAACCCAGCAUCUCACCUGGCAGCAGGACGCUGAGAAAUAUGGACCGUAAAUCACUGGCGUAAAAGUUCCUGGCGCAGAUUGUGUCCCCCAUCCACCAGAAUUGAUGUUUUGCAGGAAAUACAGGUGCUACCUGGCACACUGGAUGGGGAGUCCACAAGAGUUCCUUGAUUGGAAGCACCAAAGGCAAGACAUGGAAAAGCUUUUAAUUUUUUGCUUUAAUUCAUACCAUUGCUCCUGAAAAGACAAACCAGUGCGCUAUUGCAGCAAUGAAAAAGAUUCUCCAUUGGUCAGAACUGUAAUGGUUGAUGGUAUGAUCAUUCACUUCCAUCAAAGGAUACGUCUUCUUCACAUUGGUUCUUUUCAUGAGUCAAAGGUAUCAACAGAUAGGAAUUUCAACACAGAAGAAAUUACUUGGAUGGAGACAGAAAGUUCAAUCAGGGAAUAAAAAACAACUUCCUCCAUUCCUGUUGCACAUGCACCUAAGAAAACCUAUUCAACAUUAUUUUACUAGGUGGCCUGAAUGUUUUUCUCUGAAUAAUUUUCUGCCUUGAUCAUUUUUCAGAGUCAUGAUUCUCUUCAUUAAACUGUGUGGUCCACUACUAUCAUUGUUUGAAUUUGUUGUAUGUCAUAAAUUCAUUGUACUUUCCUUACUGUUUUCAAAGAUAAGGAGAUAAUUAAAAAAAAAAAAAAGCAAAAGGUGCUUGUUUCUGUCUCUCUGAACUUGGGUUUUGGAACAUCUUUCAAAGUUAUUAUAGUUAUGGAAUCUUUCCUCUAUAGCUUUACUUUACACUCAUUAUUGCAUUUGGUAACUCCCAUGCUGCAUGCAGUUGGUCUUCUUGAUUUUGUCUAGAAGAAAGAAAUUACUUUUGGGCUCUUGUCCCAGACCCUAUUCUGUCUUUAGAAUAGUAUAUGAAUGAUGAAAAAUCUUGAGAGAGCCCAUAUUGAUCUUGAAGUGAGCUUAAAUAGUUUAUUUGGUGGUAGCCUCUUCCUUAAUGAUCUUACUAUAGUUAUAUCUUGGGGCCCAUGUGUUUUGAUGAACUAUGUGUUAAUACUAAGCAUCAUGUCUAAUAAUUUUAUACAGAGAUUGGCCUUUGGGAGUAUUAAGACCAUCACUCUCUGUUGAAGGAUAGGGUAAGAUAUAUUACUCAGAAAUGUGGCUAUCCUAUUCCCAUUUCAUAUUUAAUUCAAAGAAAUUUUGAUUUCACUUGUAUGGUUACUCCCUUCAAUGAUAUAGGUCAUGGCUCUAUCGUACAUGAGUAUACAAUUCUUUACUUAUGCAUGUCAGAAAAGAUCAGAAAAGAGAAUCACUUAGUAGUCUAUUUUCUGAAAAUGAACCCUUUCUGAAUUGAACUAAUCUGGAUAACAGAUACAUAGUCCAACUCUAUCUGAGUCCAAAGUUAACACCUUUCCAGCUUGCUAGAAUAUGUACUCUAAUUGUAUAAUCUUUAAAAUUCAGAAUCACCCAAUUUCAAGUCAGGCAUUAGAGUAGAACUUAAUCUUCUCCACAUUUGCUUCCCUCCUUCCCUCUCAUAUGAGGAAAGAAUAAUAAACAUAAUUUUAUUUGUCAGCAGCCAUUUCUAGGAAGUAAUAUUGGGGCAACAACAUGUAAAUAGAAUGAUCAGGUAAAAUAUUACAAUAGUCAAUAAUAGAGUCUGUUAUAGAAUUCAGUUUCUUGAAAUCAUUCUGGUAUUUCACUUUAAUAACUGGGAUACUGGAUGUAAAUGGGGAGUACUGCUUGCCUUCCAUAACAGCAGGAAUUCUGUAUUCAGCCAUUAUAUUGUUUUCUAUUCAUUAGGACUAAAUUGCCUAACCUAUAUUUCACUUCUCUUCAAUUCCCCUUUAAAAAACAAAACAAAACAAAAAAUAAAAACUUAACAUUUUGUUUUUUUCAAAAAGAGUUUUUAAAAAAUAAAAUUUAAGAGAAUAGUUGACUGGGUUAAAUGAACCAUGAAUCCCUCUAAUUCUUAUAGAGCUGUGGAUUGAGUCAAAUAACAUUUAAAACAUAGUUGUUUUUAUGUUUUCUUCAAUUAGACUUAUAGUAAUAAAGGGACAACUCAUUAAACCUACAUGAGCCUCAGUUUUCUUAUAUAUUACAUAGGUGCUAUUGCAGUUUUGAGGAACAUAUUUUCUAAACCAUAUAAAUAUAAAACCAUCAGGAGAAAAUCACAUGAAACCACAAAAUACAUAUGUAUAGGAGAGAGAACAUUUGCAAAUUGGAGAUAUACAGAUAUUUGGCAUAGAAUUCUCUUCAGGGAAUCAUAUCUAGGAAAGAACAUGCAUACACACACACACACACACACACACAUUCUUUUUUAUGACACUUCCUUGAUUGUUUCUUUCUGUAAGCCAAAAGAUGGAGUUGUGUUGAUUUGCCUUAAAAAUCCUACUUCAUUUCUCCUCAAAUUUAGUUUCUGUGUCAACAAUUUGACACAGGAAAGGAAAAAAUAUGAUCCAUAUCAUUAUCUACUCUCUUCUAAGAUAAGUCUGAACUGUUUCUGCACUAUUUAGAUAGAUGCUAACAUUUUAAUAAUAUCUCAUAAUUAAAUCACUUAUGUAAAAUUAGCAUCGUUGGUUUUUGUAUCUUUUAUUAAAAUAAAAAUAUUGCAUUUAAAAUAAAUUUAUGUUGAAAGAAUUCUAUUUGGUAUAUGAUACUCAUUAAAAUGCGUUUUAAGUGACCAUUUUAAUGCACAGAUGAAAUUAAAUGCUGGCAUUCUGGGAAUAAUAUAUUCAAAUACGUUCUCAUUUUAGCUGUUAUAAAACUAAUUAAUAAUCUUUGAAAAAUCUCAUGUUUUCAAACUACUUCUUUGUUCAGUAUAUGGCUGCACCUUUUGUUUAUAUGAUGGUCUUCCUGAAAAUUAGAAGAUAUUAAAAAGUUCAAAAUAAUGCAUAUUUGAAUAAUUUUGUUUUCUAUGAUUAGACAAAUCAAGUUUUCUACUUAAUAAGGAAACAAGUAAGGCACAAAAGAAAGAUUAAAGAUAAAUGAUUGUAAAUAUUGUCUUUUCUUUAAAAAAACAAGUUUAGCUGAUAUUUUCUGUUACAUCUCCAUGCUAUUCCAUGUAUUCCUUCAUCUCUUCCUCCCUGAGGGUUAUUCCAUAUGAUAAAUAGUAUAUUUUUGAAGAAGGGAAAAAUCGGCACAACUGAGCAAAAUAUUGAGAGAGUCUGAAAAAUAUGCAAUGUAUAAUGUCUGUGAACUUCCCACCAUCACAAAGAGGUAAGUUAGGAUAGUCUUCCCUUAUCUCUUCAUUUGAAUCCCACAUGGCCUUUAUAACAUUUGAUUUUUUUUGGGGGGGGGGAGGGGUGUCAUUGAUUGCAAAUAUUUUUGCAAAUAAUUAUUCUAUAGCACAAUAUAAAAUUGCAUAUAAAGAAAAAAGUGCAUAGGAAAUCACUUUUCUUAUAUACUUUUUUAAAUUGCAAUGAACAGGUAAUUAUUAUCUAAAAUAUAAUGAAAUGUCUUAAUGAUGAUAGAUGGAAACGGUAUUAUUUUGUUGCUGUGUAAAUAUUUAUGUAUCUUCAUAUAGCUAUUGUCAUUGUCUUUUUCUGUCAUCACCUUUAUUUAUAACAUUUUGGUCAGUGCCAUGUUUGCCAUGAGAACUUGCUAAAUAUUUAUAUAUGUUGAUUCUUUUUGAUGCAAUUGUAUUUUUUUUAUUUACUCUCAAGAAUUAAAUAAUAGAAUUAUUAUACUUGCUGAUUAAAAAAAAAUAGCCUUUUUGAAAUGCAAUUUCAGUGAAGUUGAUUAUUAAGUAACAAUUCUAAAAUAUCCAUUUUACAGCUACUCCUCUAAAAAUAAACCUCUAUAAGAAUUUCUAAGUUUUUAUUUAUUUAGUCAUAUAGGUUAUUAAUUAGUAUAUCAGUAUUACUAAAAUGUGAUUUCAUUUAUAUAUGAAUUUAAAAUAGUGGGUUAGUUAUUCAAAGUUCUAAGUGCUUGUGAUAUUCUUGAAUGACCAUUUUUGUUUCUGCUGUUCAUUCAUUUUAAUAGGUAUGUAAAUCCCAUAUUUUUCUUCUUAAAUUUUCCCCCCACAUAAAGUAGACAGUAUAUCUACAUUUUGGAAUAAGAUUUUGUGUCAAUGCCGAAAUAACUUGUUUUUAACCAUUGGUAAUAUACUAGUCAAAACAGAAAACUUUUCCCUAAGCAUUUGAAAUCAGGUGAUAGUACAACUUACAUACUAAUUAAGAUUCAUUGGCAAGUCAUUGAAGAUUUUGUGUAGGUUGACAUUAAGACAUUUGCUUCCAAAACAGUUGUUGCAUUUUCCCAUGUUUGCUGCAUGGUGGAUUUUGUGCUUCACAUCUGACAUGUUUUCUCAACUACUGGUUUAUAAUGAAAACAUGAAAGUACUCAGGGGAAUGUGAUAAAAGCAAAAAUCCUAUGAUCCUUGCAAGGUAAAUGACAGCACUGAAAUUGUCACAUCUGGAUCAGAAGUAUUUCAUCUGUUUACCUAAAUAAACAAAUAUAAACACAGGUAAUUGGGAUCAUAACAAUUCAGGUUUCUUAAAAUAACUCCCUGUUCUGCCUAGGUCAGAAACUCAUUUUAAAAUAUACAUUGUUCUUACAAGUUAUUAAAAGUGAGUUGAGAUAAAAUGCAGAUUCUUUGUGGUAAAUAGCAAAAUGAUGUCUUCAUAUAUGAAACUUUGCAAAAUAAAAUUUGUUUUUUAUUUCUUAAUUGACUAAUGAGUUUUAAAGGAUAACAGAACUUUGUUUUCAUUUAAUUUUAACAGUAAUUCUACCAUGCAAGAAUAACAUAGUAAUUCUACUUUGUUCAAUAUUUUAUCUGCUGAAUUUGUCUCAGAAUAUUGUCUUAUUUCAGAAAAUAGGACUAAUAAAGCAUUUCAAGUCUGUUAACCUGUAGCUAUGAAAAGCAGUCAAUGAAAUAUGCAAAAUGGAUGGUUUGACAAGAUUACAAUUGUUUAUCUGAAAUAAAUUUCCAACAUUAUAGUAAACUCCUAAUGACUUUUUAAUGUUGCUUUGCUUGUCAAUUAGUAAUUUGGAGAAGAUAUUUUAAUGUGAAGUAAUAUUCUGUAUAUCAUAUUAAUUUUAAACUUAUAAAAAUUUAUUUUUAUAUUUGUGAAGAUAGAGACUUAAAAUAUUUUGUUUAAAUUCUGAUCACAUGUCUUGCUUUUAAAUUAAUAUAAUCAUACCUUCUUGUUGAGUUGAAAAUGUUUUCUUUAAAACCUGGUCACAUGUCUUGCUAUUAAAUUAAUAUAAUCAUACCCUCUUGUUCAGUUGGGAAUAAAGUAGUUGUUUAAUUAAACAUGCCAGUUGUUUAUAA